rnacentral:rRNA from 1 species
UGGGGAAUAUUGGACAAUGGGGGCAACCCUGAUCCAGCAAUGCCGCGUGAGUGAUGAAGGCCUUAGGGUUGUAAAGCUCUUUUGCCUGGUCAGAUGAUGACUGUACCUGGAGAAUAAGCCCCGGCUAACUUCGUGCCAGCAGCCGCGGUAAUACUAAGGGGGCUAGCGUUGUUCGGAAUUACUGGGCGUAAAGGGCGCGUAGGCGGCCGUUUAAGUUAGGUGUGAAAUUCCUGGGCUCAACCUGGGUACUGCACUUGAUACUGGAUGGAUUGAAUUCGGGAGAGGAUAGCGGAAUUCACAGUGUAGAGGUGAAAGACGUAGAUAUUGGGAAGAACACCGGGGGAGAAGGAGGAUAUAUGGACAGACAUUGACGCUGAGGCGAGAAAGAGUGGGGAGCAAACA